GUUUAAUAGUCAAUUAUGAUUUUAGAUUGCAAAUCUAAAGAAGAACUAAGUUUUUAAAUCUA
rnacentral:tRNA from 1 species